CAAGAAAUAGUUUAUUAAAAAUAUUAAUUUUGGAAAUUAAUGAUAAAGAAUUAUCUUUUUUCUUGA
rnacentral:tRNA from 1 species